GAUGAAGAACGUAGCGAAAUGCGAUAAGUAAUGUGAAUUGCAGAAUUCAGUGAAUCAUCGAAUCUUUGAACGCACAUUGCGCCCGCCAGUAUUCUGGCGGGCAUGCCUGUUCGAGCGUCAUUACAACCCUCAGGCCCCCGGGCCUGGCGUUGGGGAUCGGCGGAAGCCCCCUGCGGGCACAACGCCGUCCCCCAAAUACAGUGGCGGUCCCGCCGCAGCUUCCAUUGCGUAGUAGCUAACACCUCGCAACUGGAGAGCGGCGCGGCCACGCCGUAAAACACCCAACUUCUGAAUGUUGACCUCGAAUCGGGUAGGAAUACCCGCUGAACUUAAGCAUAUCAAUAAGCGGAGGA
rnacentral:misc_RNA from 1 species